rnacentral:rRNA from 1 species
GUGGGGAAUAUUGGACAAUGGGCGAAAGCCUGAUCCAGCAAUGCCGCGUGCAGGAAGAAGGCCUUCGGGUUGUAAACUGCUUUUGUACGGAACGAAACGGUCCGGGUUAAUACCCUGGGCUAAUGACGGUACCGUAAGAAUAAGCACCGGCUAACUACGUGCCAGCAGCCGCGGUAAUACGUAGGGUGCAAGCGUUAAUCGGAAUUACUGGGCGUAAAGCGUGCGCAGGCGGGUUUGUAAGACAGGCGUGAAAUCCCCGGGCUCAACCUGGGAAUUGCGCUUGUGACUGCAAGGCUGGAGUGCGGCAGAGGGGGAUGGAAUUCCGCGUGUAGCAGUGAAAUGCGUAGAUAUGCGGAGGAACACCGAUGGCGAAGGCAAUCCCCUGGGCCUGCACUGACGCUCAUGCACGAAAGCGUGGGGAGCAAACAGGAUUAGAAACCCGUGUAGUCC